UGGGGAAUAUUGCACAAUGGGCGAAAGCCUGGUGCAGCAACGCCGCGUGAAGGAAGAAGGGUUUCGGCUCGUAAACUUCUAUCAACAGGGACGAAGGAAGUGACGGUACCUGAAUAAGAAGCCCCGGCUAACUACGUGCCAGCAGCCGCGGUAAUACGUAGGGGGCAAGCGUUAUCCGGAAUUACUGGGUGUAAAGGGUGAGUAGGCGGCAUGGUAAGCCAGAUGUGAAAGCCUUGGGCUUAACCCGAGGAUUGCAUUUGGAACUAUCAAGCUAGAGUACAGGAGAGGAAAGCGGAAUUCCUAGUGUAGCGGUGAAAUGCGUAGAUAUUAGGAAGAACAUCAGUGGCGAAGGCGGCUUUCUGGACUGAAACUGACGCUGAGGCACGAAAGCGUGGGGAGCGAACAGGAUUAGAUACCC
rnacentral:rRNA from 1 species